rnacentral:rRNA from 1 species
AAAUUGAAGAGUUUGAUCAUGGCUCAGAUUGAACGCUGGCGGCAGGCCUAACACAUGCAAGUCGAACGGUAACAGGAAACAGCUUGCUGUUUCGCUGACGAGUGGCGGACGGGUGAGUAAUGUCUGGGAAACUGCCUGAUGGAGGGGGAUAACUACUGGAAACGGUAGCUAAUACCGCAUAAUGUCGCAAGACUAAAGAGGGGGACCUUCGGGCCUCUUGCCAUCGGAUGUGCCCAGAUGGGAUUAGCUAGUAGGUGGGGUAACGGCUCACCUAGGCGACGAUCCCUAGCUGGUCUGAGAGGAUGACCAGCCACACUGGAACUGAGACACGGUCCAGACUCCUACGGGAGGCAGCAGUGGGGAAUAUUGCACAAUGGGCGCAAGCCUGAUGCAGCCAUGCCGCGUGUAUGAAGAAGGCCUUCGGGUUGUAAAGUACUUUCAGCGGGGAGGAAGGGAGUAAAGUUAAUACCUUUACUCAUUGACGUUACCCGCAGAAGAAGCACCGGCUAACUCCGUGCCAGCAGCCGCGGU